rnacentral:lncRNA from 1 species
AUGAAUUUGUGGAACAGCUCGGUGACCCUGAGAAACCUGUUUUGCCGCUGGGGGAACUGGUCUCCUGGUGUCCGGGCCUGUGGGUGCUCAGUGUCAUUGAUAAGGAAGCUAUCUUUCCUCCUGGGCAGGUCUGAUACCUUUGUGGAAGAGAAGGGCGUCCUGCCAAAAAUAGGGUUUUUGUUUGUUUGUUUGUUUGUUUGUUUUAAGAAUAGGGUUCUUGCACAAGGAAACCAGCUCUGCAGCCAAGGACCUUCCUCAGGAUCCACAAUCAUCAAAAGUCAUGAAAGAGUUAUAAAUCACAAUUACUCUGUUCCUUCAGAAGGACGCAAAACAGUCAACUUUCAUCUGCCACAACCAGAACCAGUGUUGAAUAUAUCAACACUGUGCCAAAGAAGCAGGGGACAGAAUCCUGGGAAGAGGGCUUCUGAAAUGCUGGCAGACACGAUGAAAUGGUGGAUGAAUGGUGGAGGUGAAACAGCAGAAAAUGGAAGGGGAACAAACAGGACUGCUGGGGGCAAGUUAAGCAGGGUUGGCCUCCACUGCAGACUUUCUGGGGUGUUAUCAUCAAUGAGCCCCAAGUUUCCCCCUCAUGUAGCUACCAUUAGCUUUCCAGAUCCUGGGCAAUUUCCACCAUGUCCUUGAUCUCAAUAUCUUCCCUGAAAAAGAGAAAUAGGAAUGAGGAUAUUUCCUUUGAAGCAUUUUUUUUGUAGGAUCAAAUGAAAGAUCAAUGAAGAGCCUAGUGCAGUGGCCAUCAUUAUGUACACUAUUACUUAACAUGAACCUCAACAUUUAUUUCAACUACAUCAGUUCACUGCCUUCAUUUUGUCUGUUUAAUUAUAUAAUUAUCUUUUAUUCCCAAAGAUACAGUUUUAUUUUGAAACAUAUUAUGUAAAUUAUGGUACACGUCCUGCACAGAUAAAGCCAUCCAGUGAUGAAUGACAAAGAUCUGGAAACACCACUCUAUAUCCUGCUGUGCAGGAAGAACAGUGCUAGCCCUACGAGGGAUCCACAAAAAAUGAGGCAGACUUCUAGCCAGCAGACAUCUCCCAGCUGACUAGCCUAGUUAGCAUGGCAGCUGAUACAUACAUGGUGCUGACACCAAUGGCACCUACUAGAAUAACUGCAGUUUGGAAACAGAAUGUUUGCCCUACCAGUGUCACUUUCAAAGGAUCAAUUAACUAAUUAAUUCAACAAAUAUUCAGCGAUGCCUUUCCACUUGUAUCAGAAAUUGUUCUGGAUGGUGGACUGACAAAGAACAAUGAAACAUGGCCCUUGCCUUCAAGGGUGUCACAAUGUAGCAAGGGAGACAGAUAGGUCCAUUAUACCAACAGAUAGGGUCCGGAUGACUACAAUGUGUGCUCAGCAAUGUUCUGAGCUGCUUUUGCCCAGUGGGCAAGAGACAAAGAUUCCUAAGAUCAAGAGGUUCUAGUCAAGCAGGAGCUAUGGUGGGGGGAGGAGAGAGAAAUAAGCAAUCAACAUAAUAAAACAAGUAAAUAACACA